rnacentral:lncRNA from 1 species
UUUUUGUUUUUUUUUUUUUUGUCUCUUGUCUUUUGUUGUUGUUGUUGCUAUUUCUUGGGCCGCUCCCGCGGCAUAUGGAGGUUCCCAGGCUAGGGGUUGAAUCGGAGCUGUAGCCACCGGCCUACGCCAGAGGCACAGCAACGCGGGAUCCGAGCCGCGGCUGCAACCUACACCACAGCUCACGGCAACGCCGGAUCGUUAACCCACUGAGCAAGGGCAGGGACCGAACCCGCAACCUCAUGGUUCCUAGUCGGAUUCGUUAACCACUGCGCCACGAUGGGAACUCCACCAGUGUUUUUAAGGGUAUACUGAAGCUAAAAAAUCAGAAUACCGGUUUAUUCACUUGCAACACUCAUCAGGACAACCAAACAAAAACCAAUAUACUGUAUAAUAAUCCUACUAUAUAUAUAUUAUAUUGCAUUAUAUAUUAAAAUAUUAUAAUCACAUUGUAUUAUUGUUAUUUCCACAUGAUUCUGAAGGUCUUUGGGUAAUGUGGCUUUUGUCCCCCCCAGAAAAAAUGCCCACAAAAUAUCUUUACUAUUUCAGCAAUCCAGGAACUGAAUAUGAACGCAUUGCUCAAAGAAUUUCCAUGUAAACCAUUAUAAAACAGAGGGUUCAUAAAGUCUGAAUGUUCGUAAAGUCUCUUUAUGUUUCAAAGCUUCAAUUUUCAGGGCUGAAGCUACCAAAAAAAAAAAAAAAUGAUGAAGCAUCAUGUUUUAUAACAGGUUAUUCUGGUCAAUGGCGUGUCAGCUAUAAAACAUAAACUUCUACCGAGGCAAGCUCAUUCAGUGGCUGUAAAGUAGCCCACUGGGCCCAAUUUCCAUGAAGAGGUGCCAACCCCAUUAGGUGUAUAUAAUCUACAAAUGAAUGCAAGCGCUUUUAGAGCUGGUAACUGCCUGACUCUGGCUGGUAUGGGGGUGGGGGGAGGUGUCUAGAAAGAGAGAGAAAGGAUUUUUCAUGACAUUGGAAAUUAAGAGAAGUUUGUAGAACAUUCAAGUUGAAUAACAAGCAUAAAGCUUUCAUGUAUCAUGAAGUAUCUAGAAAUCUGUACACUUGGAGCCUGCUCAUAAGCCAUAAAUGCAUUACACUUACUGAUUUAUAUUCUUUACUCAGUAUUGCAUGUUUUUGCAUCUAGAGGUUAAGAAGUACCACGCCCUACUCUGCUUUUGCUUGGAUAAAGUUGAAAAAUUCAGAUGGUACCAUGCUUCUUGGGGGGGGGGAUCUUCAAGAGGUGAUUUCAAUUGUUCCUCCUUAAUUAAUGAUUUUUGUUGGAAUUUUAGAUUUCUGGAUUCCCCUAAAUUCUCUCUUGCAAUAUUAGAGUAACUUCUAGCUACUCUGGUAACAUUAUCAGCCAGUGCACUUACAGAAAAUAUAGGUUGUCUUUUACAUAUUUUGACAGUCAAGACUCAGUAAAAGCCUGAGAGUAUUUUAUUGCAAAUGCUUCACAUUUAUAUAGUAGUCUACAGUUCAUAAAGUGUUUUCCAUCUCACUUAUGCCAGGGAUUGAACCUACGUCCUCACGGAUGCUGGUCAAAUUCGUUUCUGCUGAGCCACGAUGGGACCUCCCAUAAAAGGCAAUGUUUCUUGCAUGGGCUACAGUAUUGCUUUAAACAGAAGGGAAAGAUCAUUAAACAUGACUGCUAUUCACUAAAUGUUAAGCCCACUAGCAUCAAAGUCUGAGUCUGCAAAUACAAAUCAGAAUAACAGCUGAAACAGUUUCUUACUGUUGCAGGCUGCGCUUGCAUGGUUAAGGGGUGGAGGAAACACAGUAUGCUCUGUAACAUGGAAGCACAUCCACCUGAGAGUCUACCUGUGCCAAGUUUACACAGUCCUAGGCAGCAUCAGUAGCAUUUGUGAUCCUAUUCUGUCAGCUGCUGGGCUAACAGCAGAAACUUUGACUUGCAUGUGAAUAGCAAGUGGCCUAAGAAGGAGCAUUUCCAAGACCAGGGUUCCAGCUCCUUUACAAUACAAUGCUGGCAAGAAUAUUUCUGUGCAUAUGUUACGCGCACAUACAGAUUAAAAAUAAAGUUUGUAAUCUGCAAAUGGGCUCCAUGGAUUAAAUAACUGAUUGAUCAGGUAUUUGUAAAAGCAAACUUAAAAGUCCAUGAGGUAUGUCUCUGUGACGAUAAACUAUAAAAUGCUCAAAACUUUUUUGUUAGCAUGGCACUUUGCUGCGAUCUGUCGGAUUUUCCCUUUUAUUUGUGAAACACACACAGAAGAAAACUAUAAACUUCAGAGUUCUUUAACCUUUACAAGCCAACACAGCAAUUAUACUGCAAGCUAUGUGACACUCCGGGGUAAUAUGACAGAAGAAUUAUUCUCUUCCUCCACUUCCUUUAAAUGUUUCUCAAUUUCUCUGCAAUUUAAAGAUGGCCCGUGAAACAGAUUUUCUUAGCCAUGAAUCCCACUGAAGAUAAAUCGGUAGAUAAAAGAAAAUCUUUAUUCCAUUUCACAAGAAAAUUUGAGGCACCCCAAAGGAAAUGUUUCUCAAUACAUAAAGACAGUCUCAAAUUUGAAGAACAAGGCUAUCAUCAAAGGGAAGGCAAAGAAAAGUAAACAUAAGCUAACUUGA